rnacentral:lncRNA from 1 species
UUAUUACCUUCCAUAAGAUAUAAUAUUGUCCAGGUAAUAACAGAACUAUUAACCAGCCCUUAAUGUUCAACCACAAAACAAUAAAACAUGUAAUAGAGAUUCGUUUAUGACUUGUACUUUCUCCUUUGAAGUGUUGUGUGUAUUUCCCUCUACAUCACUCUCAUUAAGUGUGACUACCAGAGACCUUGAAGGGGAGUGUUUACAAAACGAGGAAAAUAAAUACUUCACUAACUCAUUACCAGCUGUUUGGGGAAAAAACUAAAACAUAUGGGAUUUAAUACCUAGGAUAGAAAUUUAGAUACAUAAGAUAUUUGAUUUUCUUCCCAGUGAAUUUAUGGAUUUAGGAUAUUGACUUAUCUGUAGGUAUUCAUAAUUUCUAUUUUUAGCACCAGUUGGGGGAAAUAAUGUAUGGUUCACAUUUAAUGCAUGUUAAACUGAAAAGCAC